rnacentral:rRNA from 1 species
UACGUAGGUGGCAAGCGUUGUCCGGAUUUACUGGGCGUAAAGAGCUCGUAGGCGGUUUGUCGCGUCUGCCGUGAAAGUCCGGGGCUCAACUCCGGAUCUGCGGUGGGUACGGGCAGACUAGAGUGAUGUAGGGGGAGACUGGAAUUCCUGGUGUAGCGGUGAAAUGCGCAGAUAUCAGGAGGAACACCGAUGGCGAAGGCAGGUCCCUGGACAACACCUGACACUGAGGCACGAAAGCUAGGGGAGCAAACAGG